rnacentral:rRNA from 1 species
CAGUAGCCGCGGGAAUACAGAGGGUGCAAGCGUUAAUCGGAAUUACUGGGCGUAAAGUGCGCGUAGGUGGUUUGUUAAGUUGGAUGUGAAAUCCCCGGGCUCAACCUGGGAACUGCAUCCAAAACUGGCAAGCUAGAGUAUGGUAGAGGGUGGUGGAAUUUCCUGUGUAGCGGUGAAAUGCGUAGAUAUAGGAAGGAACACCAGUGGCGAAGGCGACCACCUGGACUGAUACUGACACUGAGGUGCGAAAGCGUGGGGAGCAAACAGGAUUAGAUACCCCGGUAGUCCCUGUCUCUUAUAC